AAGGAUCAUUAUCGAGUUUUGACUGGGUUGUAGCUGGCCUUCCGAGGCAUGUGCACGCCCUGCUCAUCCACUCUACACCUGUGCACUUACUGUGGGUUUUACGGGUCGUGAAAUGGGCUCGUUCAUUCGGGCUUGUUGAGCGCACUUGUUGCCUGCGUUUAUCACAAACUCCAUAAAGUAUUAGAAUGUGUAUUGCGAUGUAACGCAUCUACAUACAACUUUCAGCAACGGAUCUCUUGGCUCUCGCAUCGAUGAAGAACGCAGCGAAAUGCGAUAAGUAAUGUGAAUUGCAGAAUUCAGUGAAUCAUCGAAUCUUUGAACGCACCUUGCGCUCCUUGGUAUUCCGAGGAGCAUGCCUGUUUGAGUGUCAUGAAAUCUUCAAUCUACAAGCUUCUUAUGGGAGUUUGUAGGCUUGGACUUGGAGGCUUGUCGGUCCUUUACAGGUCGGCUCCUCUCAAAUGCAUUAGCUUGGUUCCUUGCGGAUCGGCUUGUCGGUGUGAUAAUGUCUACGCCGCGACCGUGAAGCGUGUUUGGGCGAGCUUCUAACCGUCUCGUUACGGAGACAACUUUAUGACCUCUGACCUCAAAUCAGGUAGGACUACCCGCUGAACUUAA
rnacentral:rRNA from 1 species